CUCCACCCUACCCUGUCCCUCCCCUCCCCUCUCCCGGGCUCUGCAAACACCCCACAGACACCUUCCUGUGCAGACACAGAGAGUCAUGGUGAUUCUGCAGCUCCUCUCUCUGCUAAUGGGGCUGCUGGCCACUGCCCCCUCAGGUGCAGAGGGCAGAUUAGUGGAGCAGUCAUCCCCAUAUUUAAUGGUGCGGUUGGGAGCAUCAGAGUCAGUGACCUGCACCUUGAAGGACAAAACCUACCCCUGGAUGAGCUGGUACCUGCAGGAUGCCCAAGGCCAGAUGCACUUCCUGGAAUCUUUAAGAAACAAAGGUGAUACUGGUAACACAUCCAGGAUGGGAACAUCCUAUCAGACUAAACGGGUCAGUGAUAAAGGGCUCAGGCUGGAGAUGAAGAAUGUGACUCAGUCCCAGAUCAUCUACUGCACCUGCAGCAAAGGGCACAGUGAGAGAGCAGAGCACAGAUGGUGACAAAAACCUUCCUUCAUUCAGGGAUAUCUGUCCCACUGGGGGAAUUUCAGCCCAGCACCAGGA